rnacentral:misc_RNA from 1 species
GUAGGUGAACCUGCGGAAGGAUCAUUAACACGUAUCCAACGUCCUAAACCCCCCCGUGAAUAUUAACCCGUUGUGCCUACCCACUAAUCGGCCUUAAUUAAGCCGUCCCGGGCGUAGCCAAUUAACAGCAAUCUCUGCACUCCGUCGAAGAAAAUUGGAAGGAGGAGAGAGUUCUGAUUGGUAGGGUCUCGGUAGCUAAUGCACGCCAGCCAGCUGUCGGUUUUUUCUCCCCAAGCAAUCCGUGAUGAAAGUGCAUUGGUUGUGUAAGGAGUUCGCUUGACGAUCACUAGAGGCCGCUCACCGGCCGGUGGACUAACUUACAGAUCCUUCAAUGGAUCCCUCCCCGACCCCACUUUAUAUUACCCGCGCCGCGCGAACGCGCUGGUCGCUUGAAAAAAACGCAACCUAAACAACUGUUAACAAUGGAUAUCUUGGUUCUC